AACAGCUGGCCAGAGCACAGUGAGCUGAGGACACGGGGAAUAGAAGAGUUUAGUAAGGAAAUGUGGGGCAGUUUAUGUUGGGACUAGUAAAGCAUGGCCAGAAUUUUGAAUUUUAUCCCGACUGACAUGUAAGAGCUACAAGAGAGGUUUGACUUAUGAAGAUCCCCACACUUGCUGCUAUGGAGAAAAGUGAAAGGAAAAGUGGGGUGACCAGAUAUAGACACCGCAAUAACUAGGGAGAGAUGAUGGUGGCUUUGAUAGGAUUAUAGUGGUCAAGUUGGUGAGCUUCAGGUUCUGGAUACAUGCAGAGAACAGAGGCAACAGGAUUUACAGAUGAAUUACAUGAGACACGGAAGAAUGACUCCGGGGCUUUAAGAUUUUUUUUUGAA
rnacentral:lncRNA from 1 species